CACGUAGGGCGCGAGCGUUGUCCGGAAUUAUUGGGCGUAAAGAGCUCGUAGGCGGCCUGUUGCGUCCGCUGUGAAAACCCGGAGCUCAACUCCGGGCCUGCAGUCGAUACGGGCGGACUCGAGUUCGGCAGGGGAGACUGGAAUUCCUGGUGUAGCGGUGAAAUGCGCAGAUAUCAGGAGGAACACCGGUGGCGAAGGCGGGUCUCUGGGCCGAUACUGACGCUGAGGAGCGAAAGCGUGGGGAGCGAACAGG
rnacentral:rRNA from 1 species